GCCAGCAGCAUAUCACCCUGCAACUCACAACUGGCAACCCACUGAAGCUCAGCAGGUGUGAGCCUGGUCAGUACCUGGAUGGGAGACCUCCUGGGGAAAAACAAGGUUGCUGCUGGAA
rnacentral:rRNA from 1 species